rnacentral:misc_RNA from 1 species
AGUUUGAUCACCACAUUCUCAUCGCUUGCCUCGUUUUCAUGGACCAUUAUCAUUGGACUUCAUAUUCUACUUACUCUUGUUUACCAGUCGGAAUGGUGCAUGACGACAAUAUCAAAGGUCCUUGCCCACUGUGUUUCUUGGGGAUUACCAUUUAUAAUCACCAUGGUGGGUGCCUUUAAGAAUGUCUUUGGAGAGGACCUGUCUAUCAGCAGUGGUCCCUGGUGCUGGAUCAGAGGCUGCCUGAAGAAUAUGGAAAUAGUGAAAUGGAUGACAAUCACGGGAAAGGGCUGGGAAAUUGCUACUUACAUCGUCACAGCUUUCCUUUACAUCUAUCUCAAAUACUACAUGAUUAAGAGGCGCCGGCGAGAGCAUGCCCCUGAUCUGCGAUACAGUCAAAUCUCGAUGCAUCUUCGAGAUGACGACGAGAACUACGUCCUUCUGUGGUUCGUUCUCUAUCUUCUCCGAAUCUGGGGUACUGCUAGAUACGGAAUUUUUGUUUUUAGGGUAAUCCAUGGAAAAGAUGUGUACAAUUUUGACGAGACGGACAUGGUGCUGAUGCAUUUACAGAGUAUCGGGGACAGCGCUCAGGCUUUUUGUAACUGUCUUCUCUUCUGUGUCAAGGAUACAACUGUCCGACGUGGAAUUUGGAGAAAUUUGUGUUGGAGAGAAAGAGAUCGACAGCUGAGAGACUACAAUCAAAUACAUUAAGGAGUAAAAGCAAACUGCAGAAAGCAAUUUGAUGUCCUUGUGUGUUCAAUUAUAUACCACAAAACUUUACCAAUAAUUGAUAACAAUCAGUGUAACUAUAAGAUGAACAUAUUUCAUCAAAAAUGAAUUUUCUAUUUGAAAUGAAUUAAGUGUAUAUCAAAAUAUAUAGUGUUGUUUAAAAUUUAAUGUGGUUCAUGAACAUUUUUUGAAAAGCAUAAAUAAUAAUAUGGU